GCAAAGGUGGUGGGGGCGUCGUGGGUAAUAAGUAGUGUGCAAGAGUUAAGCGGAAUUGCGGGGUGUAGAGCGGUCGGAGGGGGGCGUUUAAGUCCGUUGGGAAAGCCCUGGGCUCAACCUGGGAAAUGCAGUGGAUACUGGGCGACUAGAGUGUGGUGGAGGGUAGCGGAAUUCGUGGUGUAGCAGUGAAAUGCGUAGAGAUCAGGAGGAACAUCCAUGGCGAAGGCAGCUACCUGGACCAACACUGACACUGAGGCACGAAAGCGUGGGGAGCAAACAGGAUUAGAUACCCCGGUAGUC
rnacentral:rRNA from 1 species